GUGACCUACGGGACGCAGCAGUGAGGAAUAUUGGUCAAUGGGAGAGAUCCUGAACCAGCCAAGCCGCGUGAGGGAAGACGGCCCUAUGGGUUGUAAACCUCUUUUGUCGGAGAACAAAACCCGGGACGUGUCCCGGGCUGCGUGUAUCCGAAGAAAAAGCAUCGGCUAACUCCGUGCCAGCAGCCGCGGUAAUACGGAGGAUGCGAGCGUUAUCCGGAUUUAUUGGGGUUAAAGGGUGCGUAGGCGGACCGGUAAGUCAGCG
rnacentral:rRNA from 1 species